rnacentral:misc_RNA from 1 species
GAAAUGCGAUAAGUAAUGUGAAUUGCAGAAUUCCGUGAAUCAUCGAAUCUUUGAACGCACAUUGCGCCCUCUGGCAUUCCGGGGGGGAUGCCUGUCCGAGCGUCAUUACGCACCCUCAAGCCUGGCUUGUGUGAUGGGCCCCGGCGUCUCGUUCGCGAGACGGGCCCGAAAGGCAGCGGCGGCGUCGACCCGAUGAGCCCGAGCGUAUGGGGACUUCUGUCACACGUUCGCGGUGCGGACCGGCGCCUGCUUGACUUUUCUGAUUAUCCAGGUUGACCUCGGAUCAGGUAGGGAUACCCGCUGAACUUAAGC